rnacentral:rRNA from 1 species
AACGAACGCUGGCGGCAUGCUUAACACAUGCAAGUCGAACGAUCUCUUCGGAGAUAGUGGCGGACGGGUGAGUAACGCGUGGGGACCUGCCCCGAGGUACGGAAUAACUCAUGGAAACGUGAGCUAAUACCGUAUGUGACCUGAGGGUGAAAGAUUUAUCGCCUUGGGAGGGGCCCGCGUCGGAUUAGGUAGUUGGUGGGGUAAUGGCCUACCAAGCCUGCGAUCCGUAGCUGGUCUGAGAGGAUGAUCAGCCACACUGGAACUUAGACACGGUCCAGACUCCUACGGGAGGCAGCAGUGGGGAAUAUUGGACAAUGGGGGCAACCCUGAUCCAGCAAUGCCGCGUGCGUGAUGAAGGCCUUAGGGUUGUAAAGCGCUUUCGGCGGGGAAGAUGAUGAUCGGUACCCGCAGAAGAAGCCCCGGCUAACUACCGUG